GACAGUGUGGUUGGCUACAAAUUCCUCCCAUCUCUGUAUCAUGCCUUUUGCAAGGUAACUUUUCUGCGCCUCUCAUCAAGAGGUGAAGUCUCUUUCCCUACCCCUUGAACCAGGACUUGGCCAUGGAACUAUAGUAAACAUGACACAGCUGGAACCUUGCCUCUACCUUUUGGAGUUUGCCCUCUCUUGGUGCUCUUUGCAACGCUGAGUUCACCAUGUGAAGACUACUGGACCCCAUGGAGCAGAGACAAGCCUUUCCAGCUGUGGCCCCUUAGACCAACCACCCUGCCAACUACCAGACAUAGUUGCGACAUUGAGGGAGAAGUGAGGCAGUCACAUUUCAGGCUGAGGACAAGAACCAUGUACACAGACUCUACUCAGAUGGCAUCUAACUGUUGUUAAGUGAUUUCUCUCAGGAUAACCUCAGUGAGGGUCUGACGACAAUAAAGGACUUAGAAGAGGAAUUGUUGGAGAGAUUCUGAUUCAGGAGUGUUGUGGGGCCCAAGAUUCUCCAUUUCUAAUGAACUGCCAGGCGAUGCUCGCCUCUCACCCUGAUGGGUUUUCUGACAGGCUGAAGAUUUAUCCUCCCCACUCUUUUUCCUGACUCAGAAGAGAAUUGCAGACCUGGAAUCUGCAAUGCCUCUGGCUCACUUGGUAAUUUACAAUUGAUGACUUGGAAAGAGAAUGAAGAUAAAGACGCUGACCUGGGAAGUGUCCUUUUAUAGAGAGGUAUUGUAAUUUGGUGGGGAAUGUUUUCAUGCAACUCUUUUGAAAAAACACAGCGGUUUAGCGAAUGUACUUUGAUCAAUGACUUAAUCAGCCAGGCUCUCAAAGGCCACUCCUUUCUGAGCAUAGAGACAAAGAUGUACAAUUUACUGAUUAGAAAAGAGGAGCAUGUAUAUUGAUAAAUUAAAAUUUAAAAAAGGGGGAGCACGUGGGUGCUAAUGAAAAUUAUACAAGUACAGUGGUGUACGAUUCCAUUUUGUGAUGCUCAAAGCCAGACAAUACUAACCUACGCUGCUAGAAGUAAAAGUAGAGGUUACCUUGGGGUAGGAGUUAGUGACUGGAAGGAAGCAUGAGAUGUACUUCUGGGGUGCUGGGAAUGUUCUAUUUCUUGAUUCUUUUGCUUGGUUGUAUUCACUUUGUGAAAUUUUAUUGAUAUAUACAGUUACGAUUUGUGCAAUUUUCUUUGUAUUUCAUGUUUUAUUAAAAAGUUUGCCAACAAAUAUCCAACAAAUAUAAA